rnacentral:rRNA from 1 species
GAUGAACGCUGGCGGCGUGCCUAAUACAUGCAAGUCGAGCGAACGGACGAGAAGCUUGCUUCUCUGAUGUUAGCGGCGGACGGGUGAGUAACACGUGGAUAACCUACCUAUAAGACUGGGAUAACUUCGGGAAACCGGAGCUAAUACCGGAUGAUAUUUUGAACCGCAUGGUUCAAAAGUGAAAGACGGUCUUGCUGUCACUUAUAGAUGGAUCCGCGCUGCAUUAGCUAGUUGGUAAGGUAACGGCUUACCAAGGCAACGAUGCAUAGCCGACCUGAGAGGGUGAUCGGCCACACUGGAACUGAGACACGGUCCCGACUCCUACGGGAGGCAGCAGUAGGGAAUCUUCCGCAAUGGGCCAAAGCCUGACGGAGCAACGCCGCGUGAGUGAUGAAGGUCUUCGGAUCGUAAAACUCUGUUAUUAGGGAAGAACAUAUGUGUAAGUAACUGUGCACAUCUUGACGGUACCUAAUCAGAAAGCCACGGCUAACUACGUG